CAAUAGCGUAUAUUUAAGUUGUUGCAGUUAAAAAGCUCGUAGUUGGAUUUCGGAUGGGACUUGCCGGUCCGUCGUUUCGAUGUGCACUGGCCAGUCCUAUCUUGUUGUCGGGGACUAGCUCCUGGGCUUCACUGUCCGGGACUAGGAGCUGACGAGGUUACUUUGGGUAAAUUAGAGUGUUCAAAGCAAGCCUACGCUCUGAAUACAUUAGCAUGGAAUAACACGAUAGGACUCUGGCUUAUCUUGUUGGUCUGUGAGACCAGAGUAAUGAUUAAGAGGGACAGUCGGGGGCAUUCGUAUUUCAUUGUCAGAGGUGAAAUUCUUGGAUUUAUGAAAGACGAACUUCUGCGAAAGCAUUUGUCAAGGAUGUUUNCAUUA
rnacentral:rRNA from 1 species